GACGAACGCUGGCGGCGUGCUUAACACAUGCAAGUCGAGCGGUAAGGCCCUUUCGGGGGUACGACGAGCGGCGAACGGGUGAGUAACACGUGGGUGACCUGCCCUUAGCUCUGGGAUAAGCCUGGGAAACUGGGUCUAAUACCGGAUAUGACUCCAUGACGCAUGUUGUGGGGUGGAAAGCCUUGUGCGGCUAGGGAUGGGCCCGCAGCCUAUCAGCUUGUUGGUGGGGUGAUGGCCUACCAAGGCGACGACGGGUAGCCGGCCUGAGAGGGCGACCGGCCACACUGGGACUGAGACACGGCCCAGACUCCUACGGGAGGCAGCAGUGGGGAAUCUUGCGCAAUGGGCGAAAGCCUGACGCAGCGACGCCGCGUGGGGAUGACGGCCUCGU
rnacentral:rRNA from 1 species